rnacentral:lncRNA from 1 species
AUGCAGGGAUACACAUGGAGUUCAAAUCAGCAUCCAUCAACAAGAUACCAAGAUCAGCCUCCACCUCAAUACCAAGAACGACUUCCUCCUCAGUACCAAGAAUGGCCUCCACCUCAGUACCAAGAACAAUUCCCACCUAAGUACCAUGCUGUCAGGAAUGAUCAAUCCAAUGCGUUCCAGGUACAGCUCAUCCCCCAACUUCAAACCACAUUACAGACAAGAUAUUCCAAUGGACAACAAGAGGCUGCAAAUCAGUGGAGCACUUGCUCAGGCAGUGCGGACUCUUCUGCUUUUCAACCAAAUUCAGAUGGAUAUAAUUGGUUGAAACGGACAAACCAGAUCAAACCCCAAUACCCAUUUGCAGCCUCCAACACACAGCAGCACUACCCAUCUGACGACCCCAAUGCAUAUAGGUAUCAUGCCCAGUUCAUGCAAUGGCAUGAUUCCUCCCCACAGAACUACAGAAACACAGGUUGUAGCCAAGCUCAAAUGUACCAUGGCAGCUCUGUGGGUAACAGCAGGGGUUGGAGUUUCCACAUUUCCAACAAUGGCAGCUCUUGUUCCAUGAACAAUCAGCAACAACUUCAGCCUCCUAGAAUGGCUCCUCUUCAUCAUCACCAGCAACAACAAGAGUUCUCUAGACAAUAUACAGGCAAAAAACGAAGACGCCACACACAAUACUCUUCUCGGGCCCAUAACAGUGGAGUCUCCCAAAAAAAUCCUAACAAUCAAGCUCAGAGCAGAACUGAGGCCAAUCAUACCUCAUGCAACUCUACGACACCACCUUCUGGAGCACAGAGCAAUGUUUCAUUACCUUCCAGUAUGGUGAACCAAAGUCCUGUUAACCAGAAACAGUCAGAACUGGGGUCAAAUGCAGGUCCAAAUGUAUCUGCGACCCAGUCUCAGAAUAAUCAAAAUGCUGCACAUCAGUCUCAGGGCACAAGCAGUGAGACAUAUAACACUAAUCCGACUUCUCAAAUGACACAGACCAGUGAAGCCCAGCUUCAGCCCCAAUCUAGAACUGAUUUUAACUUGUCAGCUUAUGCUGACUCAAUAAUAUAUAGAUUACUGUGUUCAAAUGACAAUGAACAAGCAAAUAAGCAGCAAUCAGAUGAAAGAAUUACUCAUCAGAACACUCGUCCAGAACAGUCGGAGGUUUGUGCAACCAAAAGGACUGACAAUCACUCAAAGGAACCUUUUUCUGAACCAAGAGAACAGUGUACAGUUGAACCACCCAGUAAAAGAAUGAAGUAUGUUGUGUUUCAGAGAGACUGUCGGAACAAAGAAACAAUAGUGUCCAAAGACAUAAGUAAUUUUGGGGUGCUAUCUGCCCAACCUGGUACCCAUCAGACAAGUAGCAAUGAGAACAGACUUAAAGGAAUGAGCCAACACAACAUACAGUACAGUACGGACGCAGCAGACUGUCUUGAAGUGGUCUUUGCACUACAGAAAGCUGCUCAGCAAACUCACAAGGCCAUUGCCAUCGUUCCACCUAUUUACCAGCAGAUCUCAAACGCUGCACCAAUGGCUGAUACCAGCCCAAAAAAAGCUGACAGUCCACUGUUAAAGAUUGAUUCUGUUUGGUCACUUGUUGAAGAAUCUAACGAACAAAAAACUGUAAAUGACAAGCUGUCUGAAUCCACCUCACAAAUGGCUCAACAGGACAACAAAAGCCUUGAAAAUGCAACUGCAAGCAACAUGGCAGACCCCGAUACAUGCUCUGCUAGCCCAGUUGAAUGUCAAAAUUAUGUGCAGCAAAGUGACUGUGAUUCAGAUGAUCCUUCAUUUGACUUGUCCAGUGUGCCAGUGAUUGAGUACACACUAGAGAAACUGAUGGAGUUAGUGAAGUCUAUAGAGAUGAAAGAGUUAUCGGCCGGAUAUCCUGAGAAAUCUCAGAGCAUUUUAGAAAGGAUCUUAAAACUCUACUGGAAUGGGAAAGCUUCCAAUAUGUUGGAGCCUUUGAAAUCAUUUAGAGAGGCACUGCAAUUAUCCAUAGAAUAUGCAAAGGAUUAUGGGUCUGUGGUAUUUAAAAGCAUCGAAACUGAAAACCUGAAGAAGCUAGCUCAUUGCGACAUUCUCAAACAUGAGACGUAUUCAUGGUCAGAGGAGUUCAGAUCUUCUUGGUUAAAUGUUGAUGGACAGCCAGCUGAUAUUGAAAAGGUGCUUUCAGAACCACUGUUGGAUGACAUAACUGUGUUCAAGGCAACAUCACAGUCCUUUUCAGAUAACGCUGUUGUCACUUCAGCCAGUUUAGGUGUGAAUUCCCUCACAGACAUGCCUGAGGUUUCAUCCAAGGAGAAAAGUGUAAAUCCAGACACGUGCAGUCCAACAGAUCUUUUCAUGCAAAUGGCAGGAAAUGACAGGGGGGAAGUGGCUGCGGAAAACAAUGGGCAUUCAUAUGUAGUGCUCAGAAAAGAAAGUGAGAAAGAGACAUUCAAGAAGCAAGAGGACAUCAAUCAAAACCAAAUUUUUAACAUAGAGCCUUCAGACAUCACACCUUUAGCUGAAAGGUCUACAGAGAGACUUACAGACCUCAGCAAUGCAAAAGAAGUAUUCAGACAAGAUUAUGAGCAAACACCUGAUAAUGUAUCCGAUUCACUUUCUCUGAGUCCUGGAGACAGUGUUUCAGAUGGUGUAAAAAACUCUGUUGUGUCUUUCUCUACUGAGACUCAUUGUAGCUCCAUGGAUACAUGGCAGGUAGAAGAUAUUUCUGAUGAUGAAAAUACAGGCAGUAAAGAGGCUCUGAAUAACUCCUCAGACACCUGGCUGCUAGAAGAUAUUUCUGAUGAUGAAAAUACAGGCAGUAAAGAGGCUCUGAAUAACUCCUCAGACACCUGGCUGCUAGAAGAUAUUUCUGAUGAUGAAAAUACAGGCAGUAAAGAGGCUCUGAAUAACUCCUCAGACACCUGGCUUGUAGAAGAUAUUUCUGAUGAUGAAAAUACAGGCAACAAGGAAGCUCUUAAUAACACCUCAGACACCUGGCUUGUAGAAGAUAUUUCUGAUGAUGAAAAUACAGGCAACAAGGAAGCUCUUAAUAACACCUCAGACACCUGGCUUGUAGAAGAUAUUUCUGAUGAUGAAAAUACAGGCAAUAAAGAGGCUCUGAAUAACUCCUCAGACACCUGGCUUGUAGAGGAUAUUUCUGAUGAUGAAAAUUCUGGAAAUAAGGAUGUUCUUCUUAAUUCCUCAAACACCUGGCAAGUGGAAAACAUCUCUGAUAAUGAGAAUCCAGGCAAUAUGGACACUCCUAGUAACUCCGCAGACAUAUGUGCGGUGGAAAAUGAAUCUACUGAUGAAAAUUCAAGCGAUGAUUCCUUGUUUAUGGGAAUCACGGUGCUAUCAUCUGAAGAUGCUAAAACAUUUUUCCAACAUAUUGAAAAGGAUCCUGAAUGUACCAUCAAAACCAAAUCCCAAUCCAAAUUGGAGAGCCCAGAUCUUGUAGCAUGCUUUGAUGCACCCAGUCAACUUAACCAGGAGUACAACAAAGCACAUACUUGCUCUCGCUGUGGUACCCAAAUAGUGAAAUCCAAUUCCACUAAUGUGACAAAGAUGGACAGUGAUGCAGAUCUUUUCUGCCUCCAGUGUUGGGAACAGGCACCAUUGUUUGAGCUAGAAGAGGAGCCAUGCUCUCCAAUGACAGAUGAGGUCAAUCUUCUGGGCUAUGCUGCUAAAUCAAAUGAACUGGGUCAAAAUGAUAGUCUGCCAUGUCUUAAGUUGGAAGUCAAUGAGCCAAAUGUGGCUUCAACAAAGGAAUUCAUUGCAUAUGAAGGACUGAAAGGACAAAAAAAUGGUUGUCUUUUAACAUCAGACCCGGGGGGAAAUUGUAGUCCACCAUGUCUUAAAAUAGAAGUCAAGGAGCUAACUGUUGCACCAAAUGAUGAAUGCAUUGCGAAUGAAGGACUGGCAGGACAAAAGAGUGUGUUCUUGGUAAAAUCAGAACAGGGACACAAUUGUAGUCUGCCAUCUCUUGAACUGAAAGUCAAGAAGCCAAAUGUUGCUCCACUGGAGGCAUGCAUUGCAGAGGAAGGACUGAUGGGACAAAAAAGAGGCAGUAUGGUAAAAUCAGAACUGGUAAAAAGCUGUUGUCCACCAUCUCUUGAACUAGAAAUCAAGGAGCCAACAGUUGCUUCAACAAUGGAAUGCAUUGCAGAUGAAGGACAAAAAAGUGACAGUAUAAUACAAUCAGAACUGAGACAAAAUUGUAGUCUGCCAUCUCUUGAACUAGAAGUCGAAAUGCCAAAAGUUUCUUCUCCGGAGGAAUGCAUUGCAGAUGAAGGACUGAAAGGACCAAAAAGAGACAGUAUGGCAAAAUCAAAAAUGAGACAAAAUCGUUGUUCACCAUCUCUUGAACUAGAAGUCAAGGAGCCAACUGUUACUUCAGCAGAGGACUGCAUUGCAGAUAAAGGACUGACAAGACAAAAAAUUGACAGUAUGGUCAAAUCGGUGACUGAGACAAUGUCUGAAAAUCAGGGGUCAGCUGAACGGGAGCUAACCAAGAUUCAACCAAAUAAGCAGAAAAAUGAAAAAAAUGAGAAAAUUAGAGUACCCAAGCCCCAAUCUUUCACGCAAUGCAGAAAAUCAUUUUCAAAGAAAACUGCAUUUUCCAAGCAUAAGCUAAAAUCUGGUAGCACUAGUACUGGUUCUGAUGAUUCUGUGCUUUUCGCUCCAGAUAUUAUAGUUAAAAUGAACUGGCCACAAAAGCAAAAUCAACCUCGUGUAUCUGCAAACAAACGCUGUAGUGGUGAGAGUCAGAACUGCAGUAAGGUGAAAAAAUGUAAAGAACACAGGCAAGGAAGACGAGAUAAUCAUGACAGAACCUCAACAAAACAUAGAGAAAACCUACAGAAAGUGACAGAGAAAGUGUCUGGUCAAGCAAGUGACACACCACCCCACGGAUCAGAAAAGAAGCUGGACCUACAUGGUAUUCUGUCAGUGAAUAAAAUGAAAAGAACUGAACCAAAAACAGUGAGAUUUGAUUUAUAUGGGUCCAAAACAGAAAAACAGUACUAUCCCCGAGAGCGGCAUUUUACUGCUCCUGCUACCUUAACAGUCUCUGAUUGCAAAGACUAUACCGAUGUGCUUUCUGCUAAACAAAAAGUUCACAACCAAUGGAGUAGCACCUUUAUACCUAAAACAAAGAAGACUUGUCCUCCCAGGUCACCACAGGAGAGUGGACCACAGAAGAAAAAAACACAGAAACCUCAGGAUCUCUUAAAGUCAAAUAUGAGUGCAUUAAGAAAUCAUUUGACUCACAGAGCCAAGCUAUUAUCCAGUAGUGACAUAGAGACAAGUCACUUGAGAAAACCAUAUUUUCAUCAAAAGCUUACGAAAACACUAAGCAGCUAA